GAGACCUCAGGUCAGGCGGGGCUACCCGCUAAAUU
rnacentral:rRNA from 1 species